rnacentral:rRNA from 1 species
CCUACGGGCGGCAGCAGUGAGGAAUAUUGGUCAAUGGACGAGAGUCUGAACCAGCCAAGUAGCGUGAAGGAUGACUGCCCUAUGGGUUGUAAACUUCUUUUAUAAAGGAAUAAAACGAGGCACGUGUGCCUUUUUGCAUGUACUUUAUGAAUAAGGAUCGGCUAACUCCGUGCCAGCAGCCGUGGUAAUACGGAGGAUCCGAGCGUUAUCCGGAUUUAUUGGGUUUAAAGGGAGCGUAGAUGGGUUGUUAAGUCAGUUGUGAAAGUUUGCGGCUCAACCGUAAAAUUGCAAUUGAUACUGGCAGUCGUGAGUACAGUUGAGGUAGGCGGAAUUCGUGGUGUAGCGGUGAAAUGCUUAGAUAUCACGAAGAACCCCGAUUGCGAAGGCAGCUUACUAAACUGUGACUGACAUUGAUGCUCGAAAGUGUGGGUAUCAAACAGGAUUAGAUACCCGUGUAGUC